rnacentral:lncRNA from 1 species
CACUAGGCUGGGUUUAUAUAAAAUUACUCUACUUGAGAAAGAAAUUAGAUUCAUAUUAGGAUUGCAAUUCAGAAGAUUAUAACCUUUUUUAGUCUAGCUCAAGAGAAGAUAUUUAAGAAACUACAUUGUCUUAUGGGCUCAGGUUAUUAUUAAUACUGUCCUGUGAAUACAAAUAGUGGUAGCUACGAAAAGUAUAUUUUUACAUACACUAGUAAAAAUACAAUUAGUUUAUUUGAGAGCACUUGAAAUUCCCAUGAAAAUUCAUUCAAUUAACUGAGUUACAAUACUCCUCUAUAAGGCUCUGCUGCUUAAAAAUCAAUAAGAGAAAAUAUAAAUGGUCAUGGUGUUGCUUUUAUUGCUGGAAAGUAAUCAAUCUACUUAAUAAUCCUUAUUUUAUAGCAGGUCUCCCAAGAUAAAUAUAUUUCAAUAGAAUGUUUUAAGACAAAGUGUAGAUUAAAAAAUUCAAAUAGGAGAAAAUAAUGAUUGUUUUUCAAUAAACACUCAAAGCUUAUCACAAAAUUUAUUUAAUAUUAGCUACCCUCCCACCAUUCUUUGUUAAAUAGUAUGCACCUUCUGUGUUAUCAAAAGAGCAUUUUUAGUAAUUUUCUUACAUUACAGGAGAUAAUCCAGUCCAGAAGCAGGUGUUAAUAGAAAGAGCUCAGAGAAACUGUUGGUGCUAUCCAACAAGCAAACACGCAUCAAGACAAGCAAAGAAAUACAGGUGACUUCUACAAACAAUAUGAUUGCCAUUGUAUGAUUAUAUGAUAAAGAUAUUGAGUGUUGAAUGUGAAAAAGUGUAAUGAGUAAAAGAUGGCUCUCAUUCUAUAGGGGCUUGGGAAUGGAAGGCAUUGUGUGGUAUGAAGCAGAUAUUAUCUAAUGUAUUUAACCUAGAUUGAGUAGACUUCCCUAGGUGCACUCUAUAAUUCAGUCGAUUAAACUUGUGUGUGACUGUCCCACUGCAGACAGAACUUUAAAAUGAAGACAUUCUAAGAUCUCACUUUUAACUGAUAACCUGGAGGCAACGUUUACCAAGAUGGAUGGGCACAUAUCUAGGAACUGUCAAAAUCCAGGAAUGCUGGAAGAAGUAUGCAUUUGAGGACACUUAAGAAAUCAACUAUGAGUUUGAAACCAAGUUACAAAAGGAGAGAGCAACCACAUUUUUCAAAGAGAUUUUCUUUUGUCAUGGCCCAAUUCGAUCUUCACAGCGGACAACAUACAGCCGGAUCUGCUGCCUUCAAUUUGGAUUCAUUAUGCCGGAUAUGAAGUGGUGUCUUGGUUAUAUUCUCAUUGUCCA